rnacentral:tRNA from 1 species
GUGGCUGUAGCUCAGUUGGUAGAGCCUCGGAUUGUGAUUCCGGUUGUCGUGGGUUCGAGCCCCAUCAGCCACCCCA